GCUUACGGCCAUACCACCCUGAAUGCGCCCGAUCUCGUCUGAUCUCGGAAGCUAAGCAGGUCAGCCUGGUUAGACUUGGAUGGGAGACCCCUGGGAAUACAGGUGCUGUAAGCU
rnacentral:rRNA from 1 species